UUGAACGCUGGCGGCAUGCUUUACACAUGCAAGUCGCACGGCAGCGCGGGCUUCGGCCUGGCGGCGAGUGGCGAACGGGUGAGUAAUACAUCGGAACGUGCCCAGUAGUGGGGGAUAGCUCGGCGAAAGCCGGAUUAAUACCGCAUACGACCUGAGGGUGAAAGCGGGGGAUCUUCGGACCUCGCGCUAUUGGAGCGGCCGAUGGCAGAUUAGCUAGUUGGUGGGGUAAAGGCCUACCAAGGCGACGAUCUGUAGCUGGUCUGAGAGGACGACCAGCCACACUGGGACUGAGACACGGCCCAGACUCCUACGGGAGGCAGCAGUGGGGAAUUUUGGACAAUGGGCGAAAGCCUGAUCCAGCAAUGCCGCGUGUGUGAUGAAGGCCUUCGGGUUGUAAAGCACUUUUGGCGGGAACGAAAAGGACUGUGCCAAUACCACGGUUCGAUGACGGUACCCGCAGAAUAAGCACCGGCUAACUACGUG
rnacentral:rRNA from 1 species